UGUACCUUAUGAAUAAGGAUCGGCUAACUCCGUGCCAGCAGCCGCGGUAAUACGGAGGAUCCGAGCGUUAUCCGGAUUUAUUGGGUUUAAAGGGUGCGUAGGCGGCCUUUUAAGUCAGCGGUGAAAGUCUGUGGCUCAACCAUAGAAUUGCCGUUGAAACUGGGAGGCUUGAGUAUGUUUGAGGCAGGCGGAAUGCGUGGUGUAGCGGUGAAAUGCUUAGAUAUCACGCAGAACCCCGAUUGCGAAGGCAGCCUGCCAAGCCAUGACUGACGCUGAUGCACGAAAGCGUGGGGAUCAAACAGGAUUAGAUACCCUGGUAGUCCACGCAGUAAACGAUGAUCAUUAGCUGUUUGCGAUACAGUGUAAGCGGCACAGCGAAAGCGUUAAGUGAUCCACCUGGGGA
rnacentral:rRNA from 1 species